GGGCCCGUAGCUCAGUUGGUCAGAGCAGCGGACUCAUAAUCCGUUAGUCGCAGGUUCGAGUCCUGCCGGGCCCA
rnacentral:tRNA from 1 species